rnacentral:rRNA from 1 species
GACGAACGCUGGCGGCAUGCUUAACACAUGCAAGUCGAACGGUAAGGCCCUUCGGGGUACACGAGUGGCGAACGGGUGAGUAACACGUGGGUGAUCUGCCCUGCACUUCGGGAUAAGCCUGGGAAACUGGGUCUAAUACCGGAUAGGACCACUGCCGGCAUGGGUGGUGGUGGAAAGCUUUUGCGGUGUGGGAUGGGCCCGCGGCCUAUCAGCUUGUUGGUGGGGUGAUGGCCUACCAAGGCGACGACGGGUAGCCGGCCUGAGAGGGUGACCGGCCACACUGGGACUGAGAUACGGCCCAGACUCCUACGGGAGGCAGCAGUGGGGAAUAUUGCACAAUGGGCGCAAGCCUGAUGCAGCGACGCCGCGUGAGGGAUGUCGGCCUUCGGGUUGUAAACCUCUUUCAGCACCGACGAAGCGCAAGUGACGGUAGGUGCAGAAGAAGGACCGGCCAACUACGUGCCAGCCGCCGCCGUAA